rnacentral:lncRNA from 1 species
UAACAUACCAUCUGUAAAGAAUUGAUGACAGUAGCCGGUCUUGACAGGCCAAAAAUUGUAUUUACAGAAUCAUCCAACAGAUCUUUUAGUGACUGCACCACACCUGAAAAAAAUGUGUGCCCACCCAGGGAGCAUUUUGAAGGCAGGGCUGACGUCCUGUGUUCUGGGGGCCCUCGGCCUCCCGUAGCCAGGAUCCCCAUUACCCAGAGACAGAAGCUAGAGACGCACCAGGCAAUGUAAGCUCUUGGCACACACAGUAGGCAUCUAGUAAGCACUUGAUCAGCAGCCGAUAGCCAUUGGGAACCCUGGUGAUGGGUGAAUUCUUAGGUGGAGGGUGGGUGCACCAGCCCAAGGGACACGGCCCGGGCUCACACGCUACAAUCCUGAUAGGAUACUUGUUGGCAUUUAUUAUCCUUUUGCCGAUUCCCCUUGCGGGGAGGGGUGCCUUUGCCAUAGAAUUUGAAUCCUGAUCUACACUGGCCUUCCCCUAUGAUGCUGCUUGUUAGGCUUUCCUUGUGGGAGGAGAGCUGUCCUUCCCGCCUUGUCACCCGUUUUUGGCAAAGGACCACCAGGUAAGCCAGGCCUCCUGCCCCGAAGAUCUCCUACAGCUCAGCCAGUACCAGGACCCCGAUUCCAUGCAAGCGAUCCCCACCCAAAGAGCUUGAAAACGAGAUUCUUUCCCUUUGAAAUUUAAAAGGAGAAUAAAAAUGUGCUUGCUUUUCAACAUAGAUUGAUUAGCUGGCAUGGAGGAAGGCCGGCCUUUGAAAUCUAUAGGCAUCACGUUGCAGGCCUGACCCCGCCGACCCCGGUAGAUUAGUAAUGGUCUACGCAGCCUGCUCUGUCAGCACGUCUGGCUGGGCAGGCACAGAUGGUGCCAGUUGGAGAAAAUCACCGUGGAACGCUGCACGGCCGCCUCGCCUUGGCCGCGCUGCCUCGGGAGGAGGAGCCGAGACGGGGUUGUUUACAGACGUGUUCCUGCCUGGCGCUGGGGAGCAGACCCGUGAGAUGCCGGCCCAGGGUGACCCCCACCUCCAAGGACAGAGCUCUUUCACCCAUAUGGCUUUCUCGGGAGUCAGCUUAUUGAGUGGAAGGAACACGAGCUCUCCAGUGAGAUCUGCAUUUGCUGCUCCAGUAGUGUCCAACUUGAUGUCAUCCGCGGAUUUAGCAAAUGGGCCAUCUUUUCCAUCAUCAUCCGGUCAACCCGGGAUCACCACCGAGCAUCCUCCCCCGGCCCUGAUUGACAGAUUGCUGCUGUUGCUUGUCCUUUCCACCGAACGCCCUCAAACCCGGCAGGAAAGGGGAAAAGCUAACGAGAAAGAUCACAAGUAG